rnacentral:rRNA from 1 species
GAAGCGGUAACAGCUCAAAUUUGAAAUCUGGCUCUUGCGGAGUCCGAGUUGUAAUUUGUAGAAGAUGCUUUGGGUUGUGGGUUCGGCCUAAGUUCCUUGGAACAGGACGUCAUAGAGGGUGAGAAUCCCGUAUGUGGCCGAGGCCCGCGCCUAUGUAAAGCUCUUUCAACGAGUCGAGUUGUUUGGGAAUGCAGCUCAAAAUGGGUGGUAAAUUUCAUCUAAAGCUAAAUAUGGGCCAGAGACCGAUAGCGCACAAGUAGAGUGAUCGAAAGAUGAAAAGCACUUUGGAAAGAGAGUUAAACAGUACGUGAAAUUGUUGAAAGGGAAGCGCUUGCAACCAGACUUGGGCGCUGCCGAUCACCUUGAGUUUUCUCGAGUGCACUCGACAGCGCACAGGCCAGCAUCGGUUCGGGUGGCUGGAUAAAGGCCGUAGGAAUGUGGCUCUCUUCGGGGAGUGUUAUAGCCUACGGUGCCAUGCAGCCCAGCCGGACCGAGGACCGCGCCUUCGGGCUAGGAUGCUGGCGUAAUGGUUGUAAGCGACCCGUCUUGAAACACGGACCAAGGAGUCUAACAUCUAUGCGAGUGUUUGGGUGGUAAACCCAUACGCGGAAUGAAAGUGAACGUAGGUGAGAACCCCUUUGGGGCGCAUCAUCGACCGAUCCUGAUGUCUUCGGAUGGAUUUGAGUAAGAGCAUAGCUGUUGGGACCCGAAAGAUGGUGAACUAUGCCUGAAUAGGGUGAAGCCAGAGGAAACUCUGGUGGAGGCUCGCAGCGGUUCUGACGUGCAAAUCGAUCGUCAAAUUUGGGCAUAGGGGCGAAAGACUAAUCGAACCAUCUAGUAGCUGGGUCCUGCCA